rnacentral:rRNA from 1 species
GACGAACGCUGGCGGCGUGCCUAAUACAUGCAAGUAGAACGCUGAAGGAGGAGCUUGCUUCUCUGGAUGAGUUGCGAACGGGUGAGUAACGCGUAGGUAACCUGCCUGGUAGCGGGGGAUAACUAUUGGAAACGAUAGCUAAUACCGCAUAAUAGCAGUUAUUGCAUGAUAACUGUUUGAAAGGUGCAAUUGCACCACUACCAGAUGGACCUGCGUUGUAUUAGCUAGUUGGUGGGGUAACGGCUCACCAAGGCGACGAUACAUAGCCGACCUGAGAGGGUGAUCGGCCACACUGGGACGGAGACACGGCCCAGACUCCUACGGGAGGCAGCAGUAGGGAAUCUUCGGCAAUGGACGGAAGUCUGACCGAGCAACGCCGCGUGAGUGGAGAAGGUUUUCGGAUCGUAAAGCUCUGUUGUAAGAGAAGAACGAGUGUGAGAGUGGAAAGUUCACACUGUGACGGUAUCUUACCAGAAAGGGACGGCUAACUACGUG